rnacentral:rRNA from 1 species
CCUACGGGAGGCAGCAGUGAGGAAUAUUGGUCAAUGGCCGCAGGGCUGAACCAGCCAAGUCGCGUGAGGGAUGACGGUCCUAUGGAUUGUAAACCUCUUUUGUCAGGGAGCAAAGGGCGCCACGUGUGGCGUUUUGCGAGUACCUGAAGAAAAAGCAUCGGCUAACUCCGUGCCAGCAGCCGCGGUAAUACGGAGGAUGCGAGCGUUAUCCGGAUUUAUUGGGUUUAAAGGGUGCGCAGGCGGAAUGCCAAGUCAGCGGUAAAAUUUCGGGGCUCAACCCCGUCGUGCCGUUGAAACUGGCGGUCUUGAGUGAGCGAGAAGUAUGCGGAAUGCGUGGUGUAGCGGUGAAAUGCAUAGAUAUCACGCAGAACUCCGAUUGCGAAGGCAGCAUACCGGCGCUCAACUGACGCUCAUGCAUGAAAGCGUGGGUAUCGAACAGGAUUAGAUACCCUGGUAGUC